rnacentral:rRNA from 1 species
AAUAUUAAUAUUAAAGUAGUAAUAGUUAUGUUCUUGAAACUUAAAAAAUUUGGCGGUAUUUUAGUCUAUCCAGAGGAACCUGUUUUGUAAUCGAUAAUCCACGAUGGACCUUACUUAAAUUUGUAACCAGUUUAUAUACCGUCGUUAUCAGAAUAUUUUAUAAGAAUAAUAAUAUUCAAUAAUUUUUAUUAAAAUUUAUAUCAGAUCAAGGUGUAGCUUAUGUUUAAGUAAUAAUGGGUUACAAUAAAUUUAUUUAAACGAAUAAAAUUAUGAAAAAAUUUUUGAAGGUGGAUUUGGUUGUAAAGUUAUAAAGAUUAAUAAUUUGAUUUUAGCUCUAAAAUAUGUACACAUCGCCCGUCGCUCUUAUUAUUAAGGUAAGAUAAGUCGUAACAUAGUAGAUGUACUGGAAAGUGUAUCUAGAAUGA